rnacentral:tRNA from 1 species
UUUUACCUCUAAACUAUACCCGC